UGAGCUUACGAGGGCAUUUUU
rnacentral:piRNA from 1 species